rnacentral:rRNA from 1 species
GAUGAACGCUGGCGGCGUGCCUAAUACAUGCAAGUCGAGCGAACGGACGAGAAGCUUGCUUCUCUGAUGUUAGCGGCGGACGGGUGAGUAACACGUGGAUAACCUACCUAUAAGACUGGGAUAACUUCGGGAAACCGUAGCUAAUACCGGAUAAUAUUUUGAACCGCAUGGUUCAAAAGUGAAAGACGGUCUUGCUGUCACUUAUAGAUGGAUCCGCGCUGCAUUAGCUAGUUGGUAAGGUAACGGCUUACCAAGGCAACGAUGCAUAGCCGACCUGAGAGGGUGAUCGGCCACACUGGAACUGAGAAACGGUCCAGACUCCUACGGGAGGCAGCAGGAGGGAAUCUUCCGCAAUGGGCGAAAGCCUGACGGAGCAACGCCGCGUGAGUGAUGAAGGUCUUCGGAUCGUAAAACUCUGUUAUUAGGGAAGAACAUAUGUGUAAGUAACUGUGCACAUCUUGACGGUACCUAAUCAGAAAGCCACGGCUAACUGCGUG